rnacentral:misc_RNA from 1 species
GUCGUAAUUUGUUGCAAUUUGGAGUUUCGGAUUUGGGAUUUUUCGUUGGGUUCUAGGUUUUGAAGUUUGAUUUCAACUAUUCCUUGAUCAAAUUUUGUCUCUUUGGCGUGAUUUAGGGUUUUUUUUUCUUCUUUUUUUUUGGUCGCCGAGAUGGUGAGUUCGGAGGGAUUGAAUUCAUCACAGCCACCGAAGCAAUACGGCGUAACGAAACCGAUAUCUAUGUUGGGGCCAACGGAUGCUGAUAUGCAAAGAAGCCGCGAAUUGGAGAAGUUCUUGAGUGAUGAUGGCCUUUAUGAGAGCAAAGAGGAAGCCGCAAAGAGGGAGGAGGUUCUGGGUCGGAUUGGGCAGAUUGUAAAAGAUUGGGUGAAGCAGCUUAGGGUACACGGAUCAAAUGGUGGAGGAUGCCAAUGCUGUCAUUUUCACUUUUGGCUCUUAUCGGCUUGGGGUACACGGUCCUGGAGCUGACAUUGACACAUUAUGUGUUGGACCGUCUUAUAUCAAUAGAGAGGAAGACUUCUUCUUUGUAUUGCACAACAUGUUGUCUGAAAUGGAAGAAGUUACAGAGCUGCAACCAGUUCCAGAUGCUCAUGUACCUGUGAUGAAAUUCAAGUUUGAUGGAAUAUCGAUUGAUCUUCUUUAUGCUAGUAUUUCUCUUUUGGUGGUACCGGAUGACUUGGACAUCUCGGAUGUUUCUGUUCUAUAUGAUGUUGAUGAGCCUACUGUUCGAAGUCUCAAUGGCUG